rnacentral:ncRNA from 2 species
AGGCAUAAUCAAUAGUUAGGUGCCCUCGGCAAAGGGUUAAAAAGGAAUCCCGUUAAAAACGGGAGCGGACCCGCCUCUGUGAGCGCGGACGAAACCCGCAGAAGGCCACUGUUCCGCGAAAACCGGAAUGGGAAGGUGCGGGGAAUAGGAUGAUGCGCAAGCCAGAAAACUUGCCUAACUAUGCUUCACGCU